rnacentral:rRNA from 1 species
UCUCAGCAUCUGAAAUGAAGUAGGACCACCCGCUGAACUUAAGCAUAUCAUUAAGCGGAGGAAAAGAAACUAACAAGGAUUCCCCUAGUACGGGCGACGGAAGCGGGAAAAGCCCACAUUGGUAAUCUCUACGCGAAAGUGUAGCGAAUUGUAAUCUGAAAUUGGCUAGUCUAAUUGAACAGAACUUUCAAGUGCGCACGAGCGCGCCGCCAGAGAAGGUGAGAGCCCUGUACGGAGUUUUGUUCUACAAAGGCUGGUUAAUAAAGAGUCGUGUACUUUGAUACUAGUGCACUAAGCGGGAGAUAAACUUCUUCUAAGGCUAAAUACAAGUAGGAAACCGAUAGCGAACAAGUACUGUGAAGGAAAGAUGAAAAGCACUUUGGAAAGAAAGUUAAAAGACUUGAAAUCGUUGAGGCGGACCCGGUAGAAAUGUAUUCUAGCGAAGCGCUCUGGGAAGCCUGUAAUCGGGCCACUUGAGCGCAAAGCCGAGACAAGAUGGAGUCGCACGAUGCCAGAGGGGCGUGCGCGAGGGAGCUUGCUCCAGCGCGUGCUGUCCGGGUGUCGGGCGGCUUGAGGGGCCUUGCGCGAUCUUGUCAAAAUGGUUUUUACCGACUCGUCUUGAAACACGAACCAAGGAGUCUAAGACUAACGCGAGUAUGGUGGUGGAGAAACCAACAUGCGAAAUGAAAGUAAAUGAUGCCAAGCACCCUGCAGCAUCGACCGACCACUUUCUCUUGGAAGAGGUUUGAGUAAGAGCGUUAUUCUUAGGACCCGAAAGAUGGUGAACUAUGCCUGAGUAGGGUGAAGUCAGGGGAAACUCUGAUGGAAGCUCGUAGCGAUACUGACGUGCAAAUCGUUCGUCGAACUUGGGUAUAGGGGCGAAAGACUAAUCGAACCAUCUAGUAGCUGGUUCCCUCCGAAGUUUCCCUCAGGAUAGCUGGGACAAGUACGCAGUUUUAUUAGGUAAAGCGAAUGAUUAGAGGAAUCUGGGAUAAAAUGUCCUGGACCUAUUCUCAAACUUUAAAUUGGUAAGAACUCCUUUCUUUGCUCAAUUGAAGAAGGAGGUUCAAUGCGUGUCCUUAGUGGGCCAUUUUUGGUAAGCAGAACUGGCGAUGAGGGAUGCUCCUAACGUUGGGUUAAGGUGCCAAACUACACGCUCAUCAGAAACUACAAAGGGUGUUAGUUCAUGAAGACAGCAGGACGGGG